rnacentral:rRNA from 1 species
GACGAACGCUGUCGGCGUGCCUAACACAUGCAAGUCGAACGGAGAAGUUCAGCAAUGGAUUUCUUAGUGGCGAACGGGUGAGUAACGCGUAGACAACCUGCCUCUAAGCUGGGGACAACAACUCGAAAGGGUUGCUAAUACCGAAUGUGAACAGUGCCUCGCAUGAGAUGCUGUUUGAAGGUGGCCUCUGAAUAUGCUACCGCUUAGAGAUGGGUCUGCGUCUGAUUAGUUAGUUGGAGGGGUAACGGCCCACCAAGGCGACGAUCAGUAGCCGGUCUGAGAGGAUGAACGGCCACACUGGGACUGAGACACGGCCCAGACUCCUACGGGAGGAAGCAGUGGGGAAUCUUCCGCAAUGGACGAAAGUCUGACGGAGCAACGCCGCGUGAGUGAAGAAGGCCCUCGGGUCGUAAAGCUCUGUCUUCAGGGACGAAUGUGCAGAUUGUGAAUAAUGGUUUGUAAUGACGGUACCUGACGAGGAAGCCACGGCUAACUACGUGCCAGCCGCCGCAGUAA